rnacentral:sRNA from 1 species
ACAUAUAGGGGUGUCAAAAUGGGUAACCUAACUCAACUAAACUCAUUAUCCAAUGAGUUUAGAGUUAAAUGAGUUGGGUCAACCAAUGAACUCAUUUAUUUUGAUUGGUUGAAUGGUUAAAAGAGUUUACCAUUU